ACAUAAUAUUUGAAUAUAACCUCAAAUAACUUACGCGUAAAUUGUGUUACGCGUGAGUAAAAACAAAACAUUUCCUGACUUACAUUAUUUUGCUUGUAGAUACAGUUUUGGGAAUAUCUAAUUUAUUCUUAUCAACGUAAACAUUAUUUAUAUUUUCAAUACUCGCCUGAUAUUUAGUAACUCGUGAAAGGCACUAGUGAGAGCACGUGACAAAUAAAUCAACUCAAAAUGUGUCUAAGUUGUGUAUGCAGUCUUCUUUGCAAGAUCAUCAGUUUAUUCUUUUCGUUAAUAGUCAUCGUGGGUAUAAUCCUACUUAUAUUGUGGGCGACGGGAGUGAUCUUCGUAAAAGAGGGCACUGACGACAAUAUGAAUAACGUAUUAAGAAGCACUCUGAGAUUGGGGAAUGGAGCAUAACACACAAGAAAAAAGUACGAGAUACGUAAUAUAAUCUAAGUAUUAAUAAUUUAUCAUAGACUUAAUAUUUAAUUUUAAGCGGAUGUAAAAUACUAUUGAUAUGUAAUCGGUAAUAAAGGUUGUUAUUAUAUUAAAACAAAUAUAAUGAUUAACUACAAUUUUCGCCGCUGAUCCACUAAGCAAUAUAACUUAAAUAACGCUAAUGAAUUAAUGAACUUCAAUUGAACAAACAAACUAACAGAAGUAUUGUCCUAAAUGUGAUAUUUUUUUAAAAUAAAACAGUUAACUGUGAAGGUUUAAAUAACACGCUAAUGUUUUACCUCGCUUAAUGUCUAUUUCUUGUAUAAAUCUUGUUUUUUUCCGAUUCUAUCUCUUCACAAUUAUUUUAAAUAAACUAUAACUUAUUAAA